CCAGAGGAAGGCUCGUCCGCUCUGGGUUAGUCGGGUCCUAAGCUGAGGCCGAUAGGCGUAGGCGAUGGAUAACAGGUUGAUAUUCCUGUACCACCAUGCAUCGUUUUAAGCGAUGGGGGGACGCAGUAGGAUAGGCGAAGCGUACGAUUGGAUUGUACGUCCAAGCAGUAAGACUGAGUGUUAGGCAAAUCCGGCACUCUUA
rnacentral:rRNA from 1 species